CUCAAAUCACCACUCAUAAGGGGCCCAGUAGGAGCUGCACCCAUGCAACCGCCUCCAGCAAACAGUACCUCUAACAACUGGUGCACUUAUGCCAGUGGCCCAGUGAGUUCCCAGCGCUGAGGCCACUGCCCCCAGCAUUGCUGUGUCCUCUCUGACGAUGCUCCGGAUGUCCCCCUAUACCCACAGUUGAGAUCUGACCCACGGCCGGAUUCCAAUCCUGAACCUUGUGCUUAUGUCACCAACGAGAUGGGACAUGCUGCCACAACAGGAGCUGAGAGCUUGGGGAGGGUGCUGUCCAAAUUCUGUUGUAUCACAGCAGGGAGGGAAGGGCCUGAGGCACGAGACCGAGAGGGAGUCAGGAGAUUGCCUUUCUAUUCUUAGUUCUGCAAUGAGCUUGCUGUGUGCCCUUGGGCAGAUCAGUUCCUCUCUCUAACCCUCAGUUUCCUCAUUUGCUACAACCAAAUGCAGAAUCUUCAAGGCUUUCCCUUUCAGUUCUAACGAGCCCACAGUUCUAGCUGGGAUGCGGGAUGUGUGUGAAGAAAUCUGAGUCUUGGUUUCAUUUCGUAACUUGGGCCCCUCAGCACUUCCCAGCUGGGGCUGGGAACAGGACCAACAUUCAUUGACAAAUGAAGAGAUGAAAACAUUUUCCAAGCUGACAAGCCAUCAACUGGGUGCCACCCGGGAAGAGAAGCCUUGGUCCAGAGCUCUGUAUUCUGCCCUCACAGGCAGGAGAACAUGGAACUGCCAUCCAUACCCAAUGGGCCAUCCUGGGUUUGGGAGGUCUCUUUUACCCUGAGAUCCAGCAGGUUCAAGCGAAGUUAUGAGAGCAGACUCAAGGAUCAUGUCUACCAACCAGUUUGUCUUAGUGUUCAUGGACCAGAGACUGCUUUGCCUGUUGGGGUUGGCUGAAGCCUGUUAUACAGUUACAUAAGCUAAUUUAUCUGGGGGACAAAGCCGUCGUGUACACAGAAGGGCCUUCUUAAAUGGCAGCUAGGGCCACUCUAAUUUUCUUCCAUGGGCUGGUCUGUAUGUGACAAGACCCCACUGGAAACUGACAGUUGGCUGAGGGUGUCUGUUGGCUGUUUUGGUGCAACAUUGCAGGCCCCCUAUGACUCGGGGAGCAAGCCUCCCGGCAUCCACUAAACACCCAGUUCUUAGAGGCUCCACAGAGUGAGGGAGCAGCCUGAGGGGAG
rnacentral:lncRNA from 1 species